UCGCCCCUGCGAUGUACGUGAUUAGUAUUUGUCUUUGAGCCAACAUUUUUGACCUGGGACCUUUCCUUGAUUGCGGUGUGCAUAGCUGCUUUUCCGUUUAUCGGCAAGCAGAAAGCCUGAAACAACCAAUACAGGUGCCCACUUUGCAAGAAGGUUCAAAAUGGCUAUUAACACGGCAUAUGCGGGGGUUUU
rnacentral:other from 1 species